rnacentral:rRNA from 1 species
UACGAAGGGGGCUAGCGUUGCUCGGAAUCACUGGGCGUAAAGCGCACGUAGGCGGAUCGUUAAGUCAGGGGUGAAAUCCUGGAGCUCAACUCCAGAACUGCCUUCGAUACUGAGAGUCUCGAGUCCGGGAGAGGUGAGUGGAACUGCGAGUGUAGAGGUGAAAUUCGUAGAUAUUCGCAAGAACACCAGUGGCGAAGGCGGCUCACUGGCCCGGUACUGACGCUGAGGUGCGAAAGCGUGGGGAGCAAACAGG